UACGUAGGGUGCGAGCGUUGAUCGGAAUUACUGGGCGUAAAGCGUGCGCAGGCGGUUCGUUGUGUCGGCGGUGAAAGCCCCGGGCUUAACCUGGGAACGGCCGUUGAAACUGGCGAACUGGAGUGUGGCAGAGGGGGGUGGAAUUCCGCGUGUAGCAGUGAAAUGCGUAGAGAUGCGGAGGAACACCGAUGGCGAAGGCAGCCCCCUGGGCUAACACUGACGCUCAUGCACGAAAGCGUGGGGAGCAAACAGG
rnacentral:rRNA from 1 species